rnacentral:tRNA from 3 species
CCGCGGGACGCCUCAAUGGGAGGCAGCCGGCUGUACACCGGGGGCGCUUCGGCGCAGGCGGGUUCGAUUCCUGCCCCGCGGA